AACGAACGCUGGCGGCGUGUUUAAGACAUGCAAGUCGCACGGGAUAAGACAUGUAGUAAUACUUGUUUUAUUUAGUGGCGCACGGGUGAGUAACACGUGAAUUACAUGCCCUAUAGUGGGGAAUAGCGCAGGGAAACUGGGAUUAAUACCCCAGGGUAACGAAAGAUUAAAGGUGGCCGCAAGGCUGUCGAUAUAGGAUUGGUUCGCGCCCUAUCAGCUUGUUGGUGAGGUAACGGCGCACCAAGGCAAUGACGGGUACCUGGUCUGAGAGGACGAUCGGGCACACUGGAACUGAGACACGGUCCAGACACCUACGGGUGGCAGCAGUCGAGAAUAAUUCACAAUGGGGGCAACCCUGAUGGUGCAACGCCGCGUGGAGGAUGACGGUCUUCGGAUUGUAAACUCCUGUCAUCUGGGAGAAAGACCUGACGGUAAAUAGCCGGCAGGGUUGAUAGUACCAGAAGAGGAAGGGACGGCUAACUUCGUGCCAGCCGCCGCAGUAA
rnacentral:rRNA from 1 species